UACGGAGGGGGCAAGCGUUAAUCGGAAUCACUGGGCGUAAAGCGCACGCAGGCGGACCUUUAAGUUAGGUGUGAAAUCCCGGGGCUCAACCUCGGAACUGCAUUUGAUACUGGAGGUCUCGAGUCCGGAAGAGGUGGGUGGAAUUCCUAGUGUAGCGGUGAAAUUCGUAGAGAUUAGGAAGAACACCAGUGGCGAAGGCGGCUCCCUGGACAAGUUCUGACGCUGAGGUGAGAAAGCGUGGGGAGCAAACAGG
rnacentral:rRNA from 1 species